AUUGAACGCUGGCGGCAGGCCUAACACAUGCAAGUCGAGCGGAUGAAGGGAGCUUGCUCCUGGAUUCAGCGGCGGACGGGUGAGUAAUGCCUAGGAAUCUGCCUGGUAGUGGGGGAUAACGUCCGGAAACGGGCGCUAAUACCGCAUACGUCCUGAGGGAGAAAGUGGGGGAUCUUCGGACCUCACGCUAUCAGCUGAGCCUAGGACGGAUUAGCUAGUUGGUGGGGUAAAGGCCUACCAAGGCGACGAUCCGUAACUGGGCUGAGAGGAUGAUCAGCCACACUGGAACUGAGACACGGUCCAGACUCCUACGGGAGGCAGCAGUGGGGAAUAUUGGACAAUGGGCGAAAGCCUGAUCCAGCCACGCCGCGUGUGUGAAGAAGGUCUUCGGAUUGUAAAGCACUUUUAGUUGGGAGGAAGGGCAGUAAGUUUAUCCCUUGCUGUUUUGACGUUACCAACAGAAUAAGCACCGGCUAACUUCGUG
rnacentral:rRNA from 1 species